UACAGAGACCUCAAGCGUUAUCCGGAAUCAUUGGGCGUAAAGCGUACCGAUAGGUGGUUUACAAAAGUCAGAGGUGAAAUCUCUCAGCUUAACUGGGAGACUGUCCCUUUUGAUACUUGUAAGCUAGAGGGGCAAAAGAGGAAGCUGGAACGAACGGUGUAGUAGUGAAAUGCGUUGAUAUCGUUCGGAACACCAAUAGCGUAGGCAAGCUUCUGGGGUGCCACCUGACACUGCUAGGACGAAAGCGUGGGGAGCGAAUGGG
rnacentral:rRNA from 1 species